CUGGCUGCCACCUGCCUUCUAGCUGUUUUCCACACAAAGGACGGUAAUCCUAGAUAUCCCUUGUAUUUGCCAAACUGCAGAUCUAGAGACUGUAGGUACACUUCCAUCAAGAGGUAGAACAGGCUGCCCAGGGAGGUGGUGGAGUCAUGGUCUAUUGGGGUUUACAAGAAACAUGAGAUGUGGCACUGAGGGAUGUGGUUGGUGGGCAUGGUGGUGAUAGGUCUACUAUUGGACUAGAUGAUCUCAGUGGUCUUUUUCAACCCUAAUGACUCUAUGAUUCUAAGUGAGGCACUGUGACUGCUUGUAGCCAUGAUCAUCUCUUGCAGAGCUAGUGAGGGUUUAUUUUCAUGUGCCUAGGGGCUGCUAUAAGCAGUGAACAUUUGAAAGCAUGGAUUGCCAUCUCAGUGUCCAAGGGGGGGGGGGGGGGAACUGUAGGAAGAACUUCAGCUAAUGGCUGCUCUGAUGGCUUGUUCUUGCUCUCUCCGUGACAGAUUAUUUAUGAACUUUGUUUUUCUGAUGCAAACCACCUUCCCAUGCCAUCUAGUGCAGGGUAGGCAGGGAAAAGCUAAGAGAGUCUUGAAGAAUGAGGCUUUUUUCAUUGCUGGGAGGAUUUCAAGGCAGUGUUCUCCCCUGUGUGGAGGUGUUUGGGCUGGCAGCAAUGGGUGCAUUUGCUGAACAUCCGUCUGUCCCAGGCAGAGCAGGCUCCAGUGGGAUACUUCGCUGACACUGAGGUGGGAGGGCCAUUCCUUGUCAGGGCUUUAAAAUCCAGUUUAUGAAACAUAAAGUGAAUAUGGUUGAAUUGCAAACUGUUGCAAAGUUCUUCAGCCAGUAAAAGAGAAGAGACAACAAGAUUUAUGAUGCCCUCAGUGUUUUGACAUUUAUUUCUGGAGUGUGUACUAUAGAAACAAAAGAGAAUAUCUCUUCAACCUUAAGAGUGACUUUUGGUCGAAGAUGUAUAAUAGUAACCUAACACUUCUAAUGCCUUUUGACUGCAUCUGAGAAUACUUUGCUGGAUGGAGAAGUUGCUAUCUCAAAGUGUUCUUCAAGGACCAGGAAAUUAGCCCUGUCUUAUAAAUACACUUCUACUGCAUUAAACCAUUGGCAAAUGCAGCAUAGCCAUUCUAAACUAAUUUGUCUUAAGUGGGCAUCUGAUGGCUCAGUUUAUCUGAACUUGGUCAUUUGGAUAUGGCUCAGCUGCUGUCCAAAGGAAAUCAUCAGGAUGCCUCUGCCAAUCCUUGCACUCAGCUCUGCUCUGUGACUGCAUGAAGGAGAUCUGAGCUAACCCAGCUGAGCUGCUGGCUCACAGAGAGCACCACGGGGUCAGUUACUGCACGCUGCCUUUCCCUGGUGGCAGCUGAGUCGAAGCCCGGAGCUCUGCGAGGAAAGCAUUAUUCGCUUAGGAGAAUGUCUUUCAAAAGAAACAGCCACCGAUGUCACUACACCAGCUAAGUGCCUCUCAACCACCUUUAUUUAAUUCCAUCUUUUAAAAGAAGAAAAAAAUAGUGGAUUAGGCAGAGCUAACACAUUUUCCUGCUAGUUGGAGGAUACUGAUUCAACAUUAAAUUAUCAGUGUCAAUUCUACGUGGCUAUGCAAUCUGUUUUUUCCUUAGCAAGAAAGCUGUAGGAAAAUAUUCAUCAGCUCCUUUUCUAUAUUUCACAAUAUUUAAGAGAUUUUCUGGUUACACAAAUACUCUUGGGCAUGAAUUCAGUGGCAGCCUGGCAGCUCAGCCAUCCCCCAGCUCCCAGCCGCGUGCUCUCCGCACUGCUGCUCCCUGCUCUGCUCUGUGGGAGGCCUGAAGUGAACCAUCCACAAGAUGUCAGCUUCCACUCAGAGAGAUGCCGACGCCAUUUGUAGUUCACAGUGCAAAAAGUCAUUUCAAGGCGCUUUGCCGAGAGCCCUGCAGUACGUUCUCAUGAGCAGAUACCCUAAUGAAUGCCAUGUACCAUACUGCCUAUUGCCGGAGAGACAGAGGCUGUACUGUGGGAGCUUUAAUCAUAUUAGAAUCACGAAAUCACAGAAUCACUUGAGUUGGAAGGGACAUUUAAAGGCUCUCUGGUCCAAGUCCCUGCAAUGAACAGGGAUGCCUCCAGCUCCAUCAGAUGCUCAGGGCUCUUAUCAGGCCGUAACCCAACCUCAAGCUGUGCAGCAGAGGUCAGAUUGGUGCUGCUGGGCUCCAUCUUGGCAGAACGUAAGAGGGAAUUUCCAGGUCUCUCUGGGCUGUUGUUACUUUUGGUGAGCUGAGCUAUAAUUAGGCUUUCAAGAAGACUUGCCAGGAAAUUGGAGCUGAGCUAGCAGGAGCUCCCUAGGCUAUCACUGGGGCAAGGCUACUAGUUAUGGCUGUGGGGUGACAGGACUUUCAUCUUCUUGUAUAAGGAUAGCGUGGCUGGAGGAUGGGAUUUUAAUGGGGGCAUGUAGGGCAUCUAGUAGAGAUAGGAUUAGGCCAACUAUCCCUGUGUUGUAGUGUACCACGUGGCUGGGAGUAGAGCCUAGCCGGUUUCCAUCUAGGUUAAGGUUUGGGGGUUCAUCAGUUUCCUAAAGCUGAGGGGUGGGGAUCAUGUUUCCAGGCUGGUUGAUCUAGAAUGACAGCUUCCAGGUGGCAUGGGGUACACCUGGAUCUGUGCUUAUGUGCAUGCAGCUAUCUGGGGUCAGUGGCUCCACGCUGCAAUUUGGGGUAGCUUCAGUCAUGGGGCCUUAUGGGCUAAUGAGCCUGGGGUUGGGCUGCAAGGUGACAUUCAUCUCAGAACAGGGAUUGUUUGGGCUUCCCAUAGCAGCAUUUGGGCUGGCAUGGUGAGGGGAUUCCUGUUACACCAGCCUGGGUUCAUGCAAGGAACAAGCUCCAGCAAGGCUCCAGCUCCUGGCUGUUGUAGCCCACCAUGAGAAGAUGAGCACUGUUACUUGUUGAAACAAAGCAUUUAGGAAGUUUAACACGUUUUAUUGGAUAAAAUAAUUUUCUAAAUGAACUGUGCAAGCUUGAAAUACUGGAUCUAUAUGUACAUGAACCUCAGUAACUCAUCCUGAGGCUUUACAGUCUUUCUGUAUCUGGUCAUUAAGGUUUCCAAACCUUAGCUAUCCUGUCCCUGUAGAGCUGCAUAUUUUCACAGCAUGAAAAGAGUUUAAUAAAUGCCACUGGAAAAAAAGAAAAAAGGAAAAGCUGGGCCUUCACUGGUGAGAGAUAAUGCAAUGAGUGGUGAAGGACUCGCCGUGGGAGCUGCUGCCUGGAUGUCUAUGGCAUUCAUUAUGCAGCUGAUCCAGAUCAUGCUGGUUCCUUCUGGCCUUCGGUCUACACAUCCCCACAGAAACACCCCCUGUGCCGCUCUCUCAAGCAGAUGGCUGGGCAGAUGAAGAGCAGAGAUGUGCUACUUCAGCAAGUGCCUUGAUGGUGCCAGAAAUUUUAAACAGCGAGUUGGAGGGGGGGAAAUGUGCAAGAAAAGUGCAACAGAACAGACUGAGUCUUCCAAGCGAGGAGCUCCGUGUUGGAGGGAUGUGCGGGAUGGCAACUGGGGUGGGAGCAAGCUCUGCAGAGUGGUAGAUUGACUCCAACUGAAGGAAAAAGAGGAAAUGGAAAAGUGUGACCUGACGUGGGAAGGCCUGGGCUGGCCCCUGCCGUGACAAGUGCUGUGCUGAUCUCUCGCUGACGCGGGUGGUGGGGAGCUGGUACUGCAGCCAUAUGUUACCUGAGGAUAACACCACCACUUGAGAGUCGCCUUAAAUACUGUGGCACAGAGGACACGUAAACAUCCCAGACAAGUGUGAAUUUUGUUCCAUCAGGUGGGAAAAUUGAAGUGACAGGGAAGGGAGCUGAGAAGAGGGCUGGUGGCUGGGAUGGCAGUGAUUUUAGCAAUGUCUAGCGGAAAGAAAAGGAUACCGACAGGUCGGGGGGAAGCAGGGAUACAGAAGGGCUUUGUAUCAGCUGAGAGAGGAAAGCCCUGUGUGAGUGCUGUAACACAGGGGAUUGUCAUGGAGUUGGGAGGACGGUGACUUGUAGGCAAUUGCAAGGCUCGGAGCGGCAGGGGAGGUGAUGUCUUGCAUAAGGCACCGUCAGCACUUUAAACCCACGUCCAUUAAUAAAUACCACAGCGCUGAAAGCAUUCUGCUGCUUAUCGGCAUGAGGGGAGCAGUGACCUUUCCACUUUCUUCCCCUCUCCCCGGGAGCCUGAUGGGCUGCGAUAACCCACUUAGCAGGCGCGUGGGCGGCAGGUGAUGGCGUCAGAGUGACGAGGGAGCCCUGCUCAUGCCAUCUCCUUCGCGCUACAUUACUCUAAAAAUAAAUGCUGCCUCACGUCGGAAGCUGCUGACUGUGCCUGGGCUCCUCCCGGCUGCUCCUCUCCCCGGUGUCUGUCAGAGCCACUCUCUGGCAGCUGAUGCUGCUUCUGAAACCUCUGAGGCACUGGGGAGGAUGGCUCUGCGUGGUGGGGAGCUCUGGGCCUGUCAUCAGGGGGAUGCCAGCGAUGAGGGCACCCACGGCAAGCAGCUCCUCUGGGGGCCCAGCUGGAAGGCAGGAUUGGCCUGAUCCUAAACUGGCACCACUGGCGAUGAGCUGUGAGGUGUUCACAGCACAUCUGGCACAGGGCAAAAAAAUCUCAAGUCUGAAGAAGCUAAACUCAAUGAUGAGAGCAGUCCCCCCAAAGAGGAGAACAUUUCUCACCACAUAUUUGAAGAGAGCAGCUACGGAAGCAGAUCUGACUCAGCCCAGCAAGGUGGUGAUCAGGAACAGAGAGUAAGAACAAGUGUGAAUUAAAAGAGGCUCAGUGUAUUAAACAGCAGGCAUUUCCCUAGCAUAAAUAUCUUGGUACCAAACACUGGCAGGGCUUUGAUUUACACGAAGCAGUGACACUGGACCAAGCACAUCUUUAGGACAUUGCAGAGGGAUAUACUGUCCCACCCCAUGGUGUGGAAGGCCAUAAGGACCUGCUUUGCUUGGAAAUCCCGAUUGUUUGGGUCCAGUUCCACCACAGGAGCUCCACUGACUGCAUUGUCUGUAAGGCAAUGGCUGGGCUGGGGCUGGUGCAGCUGAUACCCAGCAGCACACCACAACCCCUGUCUGACAGUGGCCUUAUUUUGUCUGGCAUGCUUUUCCUUAACCAGUAUAGGAGAACGCAGGCACAAGUAGUAACUUUUUUGUCUCCUUUUGUAUUUUUUUAGUGCAUUGUGAGAAGAAAACUGCGCUCCACAUCCUUUCCAUUCGGUGUUUCAGGCACUAGAGGGCAGAAGAAAGGAGCCGGGAUGCUCGCAGCGAGACCCGGCUCCUUUCUGCCGCUGUCUCAGGGCAAGAAAUCAAUCUGGAAAGGCUUUUCCCUCUGCCCAUCACCAACGCGCAUCAAGGGCUCCAUGCCUCAUUAGCACUAUUAAUGUUUAAUAGUGAAAUGUUGCAUCUCGGAUGCAAUACUACACGGAGCAAGUCUACGUGCUCGUCUGCAGCGGCAAUGCAGCACGAUGGGCUCAGAACAUAAAGUGGGAAUCUGUGGUUUCUGCAGUGUGGGAAAUGACCCCAUGUGAUGUGGAGUGGGUUUCCUCUCCUGCAGUGGCACUGCUGCCAGCUGGCACUGCUGGUUUGCGGCUUCACAGCAUGGGAGAGGAAAGUGGAGGGCACAGGGCUGGUGGCAGAGCCAAGUCAAGAGCCAGGAAACACCAGAAGAUGGGUUUUCCCAUUAAAAUCAGUGCUGUUCUGGUGCUUUCAGGGAGCACUCACCCGGACACCUCAUCACAUGCUUCUCUCUGCCAGAGCAAAGCUGUCCAAGAAGCACCCGGCUGUGGCACUGAGGAUUAAGCCCUGCUACCAGCCCCAGCAUCCCGCUGCCUUCUGUGGGAGGAGAGCAGAGCAUGGACUCCUUCACUGGGCUGAAGCGAUCUGCCAGCUGUGUGCAUCGGAGAGAAACCAGAUCACUCAAGUUUGGAUGAAACUGUGCUGAGAAGGGUUUUUACUGGUUGCCACACUUUGAGGCCAUUUACUCUCUUUUCCACUGAGGAAAACAGAUAUUUCAUAUACUGACAGUAAAAAAGGACUCCAAAAGUAUUAAUAAAUGUUAUGCUGGCCAGGA